UUGUAGAGGCCCUGGGGUCGAAUCCUGGCCACCUCCAAAAUUUUCAUUUUUUCCUCCCCUUUUCUUCUACUUCUUCUUAUCUCUAAUCUUCUAUUCUUUCUACCAAACGAACAACAGCAGAAAUUUCUCUCUCGAAUCCUUUCUUCUUCGUUUCAUCUUCAUCAAUUUCACACCCUAAAUCUCCACUAAUCUUUACUCAAUUUAGACUUUAGAGUACAGAGUUCGGAUUUGGUUGAUUGAAUAUUCAAUCUUCUCUAACCUGUAACCCUAAAUUCAAAAUUGGGUAAACUGAUUGAACCACCAUCACCAUCGCCAAGUUCGUCCUCUGCUUUCUAAUCGAAGAUUGGGUGAAUUCAUUGAAUUACUUCCACGUUGAUUACUUUACAGAGAAUCAUCAACCAUUUUUUCAGGAGAUCCCAAUUAAUUUUUUAUAAUCGAAGAUUGCAAACUUCAGAGUUCGGUAAAAAAAUUCUGAUCGAAGAACAGUUUGAGUGAACUGCAGGUGAUGGAUUAGGAUGCAUAUGGAACUGGGUUAUAGAUGCUCAUGGUGGUGAUGCUGUGCUGGCUGUCAAGGGUUUGUGUUCAUGUUUUAAAGCAGGAACUGGGAUGGUGGUGUUGCAGGUGGAUUUGAAGCUUAAUUUGUGUUGCUGCUAAACUGGCAAAGAACAGAAUGAAUGAUUGAGUACUAGCUGUGAAUGCAUUACAGGUAAGUUUGAGUGGUUGCUAGCAGUUGCAGUUUGUUGGAGAUGGUGGCAGCGUUCAUCUAUUAAACAAAGAUGUCGAAAUACCUCCUGGAGUAAGGGAUUUAAUUCUUGACUACAUUCAAAGGUGCUGUUGCAAAAGUAUCUAGGGACCUGAUUUGCGAAAGUUCAAAAUUCCUUCCAAUUGACACUGAUUGUAGUUAAAAAUGAAUGUUAACAAGUGUUACUGAAUCUUUUCUACUGAUAGUGGUAAAUUUAGGUUCACAAAUUGUGAUCUUUUUGACUUGUUUGUUGCUUGGGGUAUGUCGAAUAGGAGUGUUGAUUGAUGCUUUUGCAUUUCAAGUUGUGAUUUCAAUUCAUUCUCAGCGGGUAGUGGUAACGUCAGUAGUAGGAAUUGUGAUUAUUUUGCUUUGUUUUCUGGUGGGUAUAAGUUGAGAAGUGAUGUUUGGUAUUUUUCCAUCUCCAGAUGUGACUCUAAUUACAACUUUCAAAAUUGGUUUUACAA